UUCUGCGGCGGCGCGACGCCCGCUCCCGACCGCCGCCGCCGGCGGCCGGGAGAAUGCUGGGCCCCUGGCCACCGGUUUCCUCUUCCUCGUCGUUCGUUGUCUUCUUCUCCGGUGCACCUUCCCAUGUGAUUCUUCUGGAUGUGCCUCAUUGAAGCAUCUAUAGCAAUACACCUUCCCUAUCACCUUAAUAAUAGGAGGAGCAUACAUUGGUGUUAGGGAAACAGAAGGUGGUGACAAGCUGGUAGCUCCCGCCCUGAGCAUUGCGGAAGUCGCAAUAAGCAUGGCCAAGACCAGCCAUGGGAUACCCUUUGGCUGUCCUCUCAUGCUUGUUUUCAUUGUUUGAAAAAUGCCAGUGUUUUCUCAAGUGUGAGGACAGGAGAAGAGGACUGAAUGGUUAUGGCUCUGGUAUGGAGGGAUAUAUAUAGUGUUCAAGAUGCCAAGGUUUGAGAGAGCAGGUAG